AAGAAUAUGUGGGACGGGAUGGCUCAACUUUUUGCGAAGAAAAUACAAACCACGGGAAACUAAGUAAAGUUUUCGGUAGAAUAUUGUACAAAACUUGUACAGUCGUCCAACAACGUAACGCGUUACCUAACGUCUAGCCUCAUCGUUUUCUUGUACAAUUAUUGUUUGAAUAUAUAUGCCGGUUAUGGCAAACCCCUAUAAAUACACCCCAUUAUUACGGCUACCGUUUGUGUAUGACCUUGGCAUGGACUAUCAAUCUACAAUUAAAUAUUUACCGGACUCGUGUGUCUAGAGCUACGUGGGUUUCCGGUUGAAUAACGGUUUUUGUGGCUUGGUUUGAAGCAAGAUCACAAAGUUGCGAUUAAUAAGUUAGCAUCUUGACGUGCGUAUGGACAAGCUCAAUUGGAACGAGGACGUGCAUAACUAGAAUGCUGAUUGAUGACGAGAUAAAUAAAAUUUGAAAACUACACGGACGCUGCCAUACUUUAUGCCUAGUUUGCUUUGCCUAUUUAAUCAUCUCAGUUAGAAAUGCAGUUAGUGAAUAAAAGAAAGUUAUUGAACUGAA